UAUAAUGUUGGAGUUAUUUUAAGUCCUACA
rnacentral:piRNA from 1 species